AUUGGUUAGUUAGAUUAGUUAGUUGAGUAAGUGGCGAUUUGUAAUUACUUGCCUACUAGGUACAUAGUUUCAAUGACUUCUACAAAUAAGUGAAGUUUAAAUGAUUCAAAAUGUGUUUUCCUCAAAACAUAUUACUGUUGCAUUCGGUAGUUUCUAUGUGACGGAAAUGGCUCAAAAUAUAUAUUUAUGAUAAAAAAAUAACCAAAACAUCAAAAAUCUUCUUUCAAUCAAUACUGUACAAAUGGUGGUUAUUGUAUCUAUAAAGUUUGACAGUCGAUUGAAGUUACGUCAAUUACAGCCAAAGUACACAAUUAAAAACAGCUGACAGAAAGCAAGAAAAGCUUCAUGUCAUGGUAUUUCAUCCAGCCGCUUCACAAAAAUGUGGAAAAACGACAGUCUCCAAAAGUUCCGCACAACCCUGUUCUUCAUCAGAAUAGUGUUUGGUAUUACCCGGCCGCGACAGGUCUCGACAGGUUGCACGGAGGCGAUGGCCGGGGUCCCAGCGAUAACCUCGACCACUUAGAUCGGACGCAUAUUGCACGUCCUCAGUACCCAACGUUUGGUCGACGGCGUGAACGUCCGCGACGGAAUUUCGGCCGCAAGGAAUCUGAUUCCGUUAGCUGCAGCUAGAGGCAACUGUAAGAGCGCCCGUCCGCGUGGACGUCCACACCACUGGCGCCGGGCGACGUGACGGUGGCGUCUGCCCACCUCUGUGGCCGCGUGCCGACACCCCCUCUAUGACAAUGCCAUUCGUUUCAUGCAUAAGGAAAAUUCGAGAUGCCGCUGACUCAUCAGCCUGUUGACUGACGCCGUCGCGCUGUCCGCGUGGUAACACACUAUCUCUAUGAAUAUUUCCCUCGUUUUAGCCUUUAAUAAAGGGUUUUUCAAAUUAUUCCUUUUCCAUUGCACCUUACCUUAGAACAGAUCUCGCUCUACGCGAAUCCACAGAUAAUUUGAAAUAAGUUGUCCAUCGAAGCCACACACAUAUUAUAUUUGCACAAUGAUCCGUUCACGAGCUGCACUAAACGUCAGUCAGUGGAUGGCCGGUUGCACUGUACGCACGCAUAGACGUCGUGCAGACCAGCGAGCGCUCACGGAACUGACUGCGUCGGCGUUCCAUUUGGGUCACUGUCAUACAGUGGUGGGUAGUGGGGGACACGCGUUCGCCAGUUCGCCUCUGAAAAAUUAGCGUCUCGCGAAUAUGCUUCAUCGACGCGGGCGUUUUCCCUCCAAGACGUGCACCAAUGGGCCGCGUUCGCGCCACUGCCGUUCACUUGCUGCGCUGACAGUUUUCGGUGUUCAUCGUCGCUUUCAUUAUUUUGCUGCGCGAUUAACAACUUGGAUCCGAUGAUUUUCUAAUGUUUAUAAUGUUAAGUUUAUAAAGUGUUUUAAAUGUCUCAUUUUAAUGACUGAAAAGCUAUUCUUUGUAAUUUUGACAAUUUUACAAAAAUAAGAAUACGGAAAUGAUUAACAUUAAUGUUAAUUAUUUAGAGUAGUAUGCUUUUUUUCGCUAACUAGGUCAAAUGUAUACGAUAUAAUAUGAUUAAUAGUCGUCUGUGAUUACCAAAACUGCAAUGUUCAAAGCGGCGGAAAAUUGUAAAUGAAUGAAAUUAAUGCGCUGUAAGAGUAUACUUUUAUUAGAAUGUCAGAACAUCACUUACUUCGAUUUUAUUUGAAGCAUAGGUUAAAUUUAAAUAUGGCGGAACUGUUGUAACUCGCAUUGUAGGUAGCGACUUGAUUGUAUCCAAUGAAGCAUUGCUGAAGUCCAUGAACGUAACGUCUUUUUUUUUAUCCCAUCUAUGCUGAUAGCCUUGAGAGGCUAUAUCAGCUUCUCCUUGACGUGUAGGUGGUGAGCUCACGGGGCUCAAACCGGUAGUGUUGCUAACACUGGCCCUAGCAAGAGCAGUGCUUCAAAGAAUCUACCACCGGAUUAGAAAUGCGAACCACUGAGAAGAUCCGGUGAGAAACUCAGUGGGCGGAGGCCGUCUAUACUUUUGUCUAAAAUGGGAAUAAAAGUCACUACUUAAAAGGACUAAAUCGCAAUUUGGAACUCCAAUAACACCAAAGCGAAUGUUUUCUGUCAAACACUUUCCACGUGUCUUGUCUUGGACAUUUUUGAAAAGUUACCAUCCAUAGUCUGUUAGUAGCUCUGCUGAUUGCCAUAAAUUGAGUAAAACUACGUAGAGCAGUUACAAAAAAAAGGCUACAUUAUUUAUGUAAUUUUAGGCUCGCAACCUUGAGGUUGUAGAUUGGUGAGCGCUUGUGACGUAAACAACAAUUGUCUGUUAGCAAUGAAGUAUGAAUCGGUUCUACAGGUAUAUUCUGAUACUGUCAUUUUAAUUAUUUUUAGAUUAUUAUGCAUUCGUUUGGAAUUAAGAGGACAUUUAUCGAAAUUAUUUGAUUUAAUAAACUUGUCGUCAAUGUGUUGUACGUAAAGUUAGGUUAUAAUAAAAAAUAAAAUAAAACAAAAACGAACAUUUGAAAAAUUUAAAUGUACACUUAAAGUAUUGCUAAUGUUUCAGAUAAUUAUGACUGAUAAGUCAAUAUACCGUAGUAUCUAUUUUUUUUACAUUUAUAUAGUUAUGUACAUUAUCUCGGAUAGAAGCUUCUAUCCGAGAUAGUGGGUGGGACUGAAUGUGAACAUGGAAAUAAUAAAAAUUAUCAUAAAUGCUCAUGUAGCGCCCACUCCAGUAAAGAUCGGAAGCUCUACGCUGCGAAGUUGUUGACGAGUAUAUUUACCUGGGACACAACUUCAAAGAAGAGAUCAACCGUCGAAUCCAGUUCGGAUGGGCAGCGUUCGGAAAGCUACGGAAAAUCUUCUCAUUACAAAUACCACAGUGUCUCAAGACGAAAGUCUUUGACCAGUGUGUGUUGCCAGUCAUGAUAUAUGGCACUGAGACGUGGUCGCUCACAAUGGGUCUUAUGAGAAGGCUCAAGGUCACCGAAAGAGCAAUGGAUAGGGCUAUGCUCGGAGUUUCUAUGCGAGAUCAACUCAGAAAUGAGGAGAUUCGCAGGAAAACCAUGAUACCUAAUCGACAUAGCCCAAAGGAUUGCGACAUUGAAGUGGCAGUGAGCAGGACACAUUGCUCGUAGAACAGAUGGCCGUCGGGACCAGAAAGUUCUUGAGUGGCGACCGCGUACCGAAAGACGUAGCGUGGGUAGGCUUCUUAUAAGAUGGACCGACGAUCUAUUGAGGUUCGUGGGGAUCCGUUGGAUGCAGGCAGUGCAGGACCGGUCUUUGUGACGAGGCUUAGGGAGGCCUAUGUCCAGCAGUGGACGUCUGUGGGCUGAUAAGAAAAAGAAGUACAUUAUCUAAGUUACAUACUGAAGGCAGAGGAGGUGGCGCACCUGCUGGUGAUCCGACGGUCGCUCAUGACGUUGAGGAUGCCGAAGCACCUCGUAUAAAGAAGGACAUGUAACGCUCAGAAAGUACCAUGGAGGUCGAUAGAAAUGGCAAUGGAGAUAAAAGCAAUGGAACAUCAAAGGAGGAUCCAUCUUGUCACCAUUGAUGCAGCUACGACCAAUACGAUUAAGAUUUAGAUGGAUUUAUAUUACAUAGAUCAAAAGCUUUUGGUUUUUUUUACAUAACUACGAAUCAACAAGAUUUGGAGAUCGAAUCUUUAUUUACGAAAUAAUUAAGCGGCCUACAAGUGACAUAUGCUUGUUUUAAUCGAAAUAAUUAAAAGGCAUUUAAAUUAAAAAAAAAAAUUUAAGACCAGUGAAACUACAGUGUGCUUAGUGCGAGUUUUUGAACUGCUCGAUUGCGGUAAAGUUAACUCAAAUUUGUGUGGAGUUGUACCAGCUUUCCUGUUUUUGCCGCUAGGGGCGAUAGAGAAGCUAAAAAACGUGCACUAAGCAAACUGAACAUUAAAAUUACAAAUUAUAAUUUUGAAGAGUGUUAAAACCUAUAUAAAUUUACUAACCAGAUUAUUAGGUACUGGGAUCCGAAUGUACAUAAAAUUGAAUUCAUGUUAUUUAUUUAUCGUAUGGCAUUCGUUUACACUGCGUGGUUAUAAUUUAAAUUUACAGUUUGUAAAAUAAUCGAUAGCUUCUUCUGAAAAAAGAACGAUGUUUCUGUAUAUUCAUACUUUACAAAGUAGCGUCACCGUUUCUUUGAACUCCAGCAAUGUGUGUUUACUUGUAAACUUUUCCUCAAUGUGGAUGUACAGUCAUGUCGUUGUUGCGAUCGUUAGGUUAUAUUUUACAGUGCUUGAUCAUAUAUUUGUUUUAUAAUUCCCUAAUUUAAGUGUACUCUAUUAAUAAUAAGUUGUAUGUCAUAUAUUUCUAUAAUUUAAAUGUAGUUAUAUUUUUGAAGUGAAGGCAGGUAAAUCAUGUCUUUAGUAUGCAGAUUAUUGAUAGAAUAAACGCAUGUAGAUUCUU